rnacentral:misc_RNA from 1 species
GUAGGUGAACCUGCGGAAGGAUCAUUAACAAAAUCUACAACACUAACCCUGUUGAACUGUUAGGCAAGGCAAAGGGGUCCUUCUCUUCCCAUCUCCUCUACUACUAGUAAUAGAGGGAGGGAGGGAGGGAGGAGGGGGAGGGUAGACGGUCAAAGGACACAAUGAGAGGACCACCAUCAGCAGCACCCCUUAGGGGGAGCCAGAUGGUCGCCGCAUCUCUGGCCUUUGGUCUGCCUGGGCUCUUUGCCUUGCUGUGCCUUUGGGCACACCAUUGAUAUUAGACUAUUGAUUAGACUGAUGUAACAACGAGAGAUAUCUCUAACGUUAACAACUUUUAACAAUGGAUCUCUCGGCUCUU